GGGGAGAUGGCUCAGUGCUAAGAGCACUGGCUGCUCUUCCAGAGGUCCUGGGUUCAAUUCCUAGCAACCACA
rnacentral:tRNA from 1 species